rnacentral:rRNA from 1 species
CAGCAGUGAGGAAUAUUGGUCAAUGGGCGAGAGCCUGAACCAGCCAAGUAGCGUGAAGGAUGACUGCCCUAUGGGUUGUAAACUUCUUUUAUAAAGGAAUAAAGUCGGGUAUGCAUACCCGUUUGCAUGUACUUUAUGAAUAAGGAUCGGCUAACUCCGUGCC